AAUCAAAUGAUUCAAAACAACUGUGACAAUUCCUUUGUUUUAUCAAAAAAUUUUACCACAUCAAAAAGGUAAUAGAAAGUGAUGUCUCAUCAACUUCUUAUUUGAGUUGUGAUCAAAUUCUCAUACUGUAAAUGUUUUUCUAAAAUAGUGAAAUUAAUUUGGAAACCUAAGAAUCUUAUAGCAAAUUAGCAAUGACUAUUCCAAAAGAUACUUUUCUUAAAGUGCGGGGGGACAAUAAAAUUAUUUUUAUUGGCCUGUUUUGGUUAAAGAAAAAAGAGAUUAAAUUUGAUCCGAAACGGGCGUAAAACACGGCUUUUACGCCAGCCAAUGAAAUCAUCCACCUAAUUCUCCUUCAAGACAUAUAUAACAAUCCUCUACUUUACUCUUUUUAUCUUUGGAUUUUCGUUCUCUCUCCGUUCCCUUUGUAACUCUCUCUACUUUACUCUUUAAAUUUUCAAAGACAAAACUUUUACUAUUUGAGUAUCUGUGAGUCUGUGACUGACUCUCUCUCUCACAUACAAAAUGUCAGCCAAACCAAAGCAGAGUUUGUGUUCAUAAUAAUCAUCAAACACUCAAAAAGUCUCAAACUUUCCCUUUCAUUGAUUCACCCACCUCCAUUCUGUGCUCAAUAAAAGCAAAUAAUCACAUCUUUCCCGCCACAUUUAUCCCCUGCUUCUCAACCCCACCAAAACCAAACAUGCGUCAUGGACCUGGCCAUGACAGAGCUGAGAGCACCGAAGCCAAUUGGGUUCAAAAGGAGGCCGGUGGUUCAGUGCAUCGUCACAGCCCUAUUUAAUGCCCACUGUGUUGAUGCAUAGAUCAGCAGGGAAGAUAAGUACCACAAGAGAAGGAAAGCAAUGGAUUUGAUGGUAUGGAAAAAAAAAAAAA